GCCCGGGUGGCGGAAUUGGUAGACGCGCCAGCUUGAGGUGCUGGUGGGAACCUUUACUCCCGUGCUGGUUCGAGUCCAGUUCCGGGCACCA
rnacentral:tRNA from 1 species